rnacentral:rRNA from 1 species
AACGCGAAGAACCUUACCUGGGCUCGAAAUGUAGUGGAAUCCGGUAGAAAUAUCGGCGCCUAGCAAUAGGCCGCUAUAUAGGUGCUGCAUGGCUGUCGUCAGCUCGUGUCGUGAGAUGUUGGGUUAAGUCCCGCAACGAGCGCAACCCUUAUCUCCAGUUGCUACCAUUUAGUUGAGCACUCUGGCGAAACCGCCUCGGAUAACGGGGAGGAAGGUGGGGAUGACGUCAAGUCCUCAUGGCCUUUAUGUCCAGGGCUACACACGUGCUACAAUGGCCGGUACAAACCGCUGCGAACCCGCGAGGGGGAGCCAAUCGGAAAAAGCCGGCCUCAGUUCGGAUUGGAGUCUGCAACUCGGCUGCAUGAAGCUGGAAUCGCUAGUAAUGGCGUAUCAGAUCGACGCCGUGAAUACGUUCCCGGGCCUUGUACACACCGACUGUAC